AUUGAACGCUGGCGGCAUGCUUUACACAUGCCAGUCGGACGGCAGCGGGGUAGUGCUUGCACUACUGCCGGCGAGUGGCGCACGGGUGAGUAAUAUAUUGGACCGUACCGAGUAAUGGGGGAUAACCAAUCGAAAGAUUGGCUAAUACCGCAUACGCUCUGAGGAGGAAGGCAGGGGACCUUCGGGCCGUGCGUUAUUCGAGCGUCCAAUAUCUGAUUAGCUAGUUGGUGGGGUAAGGGCCUACCAAGGCGACGAUCAGUAGCGGGUCUGAGAGGAUGAUCGGCCACACUGGGACUGAGACACGGCCCAGACUCCUACGGGAGGCAGCAGUGGGGAAUUUUGGACAAUGGGCGAAAGCCUGAUCCAGCCAUGCCGCGUGUGUGAAGAAGGCCUUCGGGUUGUAAAGGACUUUUGUUAGGGAAGAAAAAGGGGCGGUUAAUACCCGUUUCUGCUGACGGUACCUAAAGAAUAAGCACCGGCUAACUACGUG
rnacentral:rRNA from 1 species